rnacentral:lncRNA from 1 species
GGGGGGGUCCUAUAAAAGAAAAAAGAAUGAAAGACUUGGAAGAGACCUCCGAGUAACGAAGCAAGACGUCUAGAUUUUGGGUUAAAACCCUUUGUAAUCGCCAUUGUAGAAUCAAUAAAGCUAGAUCUCAUAGUUAUCAACAAGAUCCCUUCCUUAUCUUCUUUGCUCUUACGAAUACGGAAUAAUAUAUCAAGAUGUAAGCUUAUCAUUUACGUUUAUGUCUUUUAAUCAUUCUGAGAAUUGUU